UUUGUUUUUCAAACAAAGCAAAACCAGUAGUCCUCAAUGAAGAUUAUGUCAAUGGCUCAUAUUCAAACUUCAGUUAUUUUUAUUAUAGCCAAGUCUAAAAGCGUGGUUAGUGUCAAGGUGUCCUGCAGUGAUUCAAGAAUGUAAGUACCAACCUCAGGUCAGAAUGUUAAGAACCAGGACACAAAUUCCAAAUUAGUUGUGAGCUCUAUACUUAGAUUUCACCAAUCAAUUAAGUGUAAACUCCUCAGGCACUAUAGCAACCUAAACAUGGAGUCACAGACAGUCCCCUUGGGUACUCCGAUUUGUCUUGCCAUACAGAUGAGCCUAUCUUUGUGAUAGAUGGUCCCUUACACCCAGGGCAAGUCUACACUACAAAAUUAAGUUGACCUAAGUUACGUCGACAUAUAGCUACCACAGUAAUUCAACUGCUUUCGCAUGUCUACACUACGCUCCUUGUGUUGGCAGUGCACGUCCUCGCCAGGAGUGCUUGCACUGAUUUAACUAUCAGUGUGGGGUGUUGUGGAAUAGCGCUGUGAGUAAUGAGUUGCCCCCUUUUCAAAUCAUGACAUCGUACUGUUGGGGGAAAAGGGAAUUAAAGGGGGGGUAUUAAAGGACCCCUGCUAAUGACGGAAGUUUGGAUUAUCCCUGAUUAAGGUCUGUCACCUAUGGUCUCAGUGAAACAGAAGGACAAGAUUAAACUUUAAAAGACAGUUUAUUAGGUACAGGUAAGUAAAGAACACUCGGUGGUUUGGAAUCAAGGGCACGAAGCCCAGGCCUUCCAGCCCUUACAGAUGUUAUGGACUAACAGUCAAGAAAUCUAUACUUUACAGAUGAGACGUCAGUCACAGAGGGAAAGUCGUGUCCAACCGAUUGCCUCGGCUCUGGUGCAGUGGAGCAGUUCAGAGCUUCUACUGUGCCUGGUGAUGGUGAUGUGCACAGGAGGAACACGGAUCAAAUCGGCUGCUGGACCAGAAUCCCUCAGUCUCAGAUGGGAAACAAUCACGUUAAAGGCUAAUGUAGUGCACUGAAGAAGACUGCCUGAGCCAGGCAAAUAAUCCACAUUAAUGAUGAUGUCCAAUGCAAUAGAUCUCAUUGUGAUCUACGGACCAAGUCACGUGCCGUUUCUACCUUCCAGGAUGUUUGAUUUAUCCAUGCCCGGAAUAUCUGAUGGAGCACACCACUAAUGUUGAAGCGUAUUUUCAGGCAUAUGUAACUCAAAUAAUAAUUGAACGGAUUUUGCUGAAAACUUUCCUGAAUAAUUCACCUGAGACCGAAUGUGGAAAAAGUCACCCCUUAAGAAGUCUGGCUUCAGCUCUCACAGGUAUUUAGGCACCUGACUCCACCACCCUCAGACCAAUGAGCUGAUGGCCGGAUUUAAUGGGACCCUGAAAAUGACACUGAGGACUUCUAUGGAUCAGCAUCCCCAGGACUGGAACAAAUGCUUACCUACCUGCUGUUCAUUUAUAGGGAAGCGCCCUAGGUCUGUACGGGCUCUCCCCUUCCCAAGGGUAUAAUAGGAGAGUGAGGGGACCCCUGGAGUUGACGAGGGCUGAGUGGGCAGGGAUGGCCUCCCAUGGUAAUGUGCUGACCUUGCCAGAGAGGCUCCCUGAGCUCAGGGGUUUUGUCAGGGGGAGACCCCAGGGUAAGGUGACCAUUUUUUUUCAAAUUUAAAACCAGGACAUUUAAAAUUGGUCGAUUUUGGCGGGCUCUGUGUGAUGAUGUCAUCAUCGAGUUCCCACGGUCGGGCUGUAUGUAAUGCACAGGAGUAUUAUCGAAGAUUCGCCGUGGCCACAAUAUAGUGAGAGUGCGUGUGCUGAAUGCUGAGUAUUGCCGAGAUCCAACGACGAGAACCGUUGUGUAAAAUAAAACUAAAACUAGGAUAAAUUAAUAAAAU